GCAGAACGCGAAGAACCUUACCCACCUUUGACAUGUACGGAAGUUGCCAGAGAUGGCUUCGUGCUCGAAAGAGAGCCGUAACACAGGUGCUGCAUGGCUGUCGUCAGCUCGUGUCGUGAGAUGUUGGGUUAAGUCCCGCAACGAGCGCAACCCUUGUCAUUAGUUGCUACGAAAGGGCACUCUAAUGAGACUGCCGGUGACAAACCGGAGGAAGGUGGGGAUGACGUCAAGUCCUCAUGGCCCUUACGGCCUGGGCUACACACGUGCUACAAUGGUCGGUACAGAGGGUUGCCAAGCCGCGAGGUGGAGCCAAUCCCAUAAAGCCGGUCGUAGUCCGGAUCGGAGUCUGCAACUCGACUCCGUGAAGUCGGAAUCGCUAGUAAUCGCAGAUCAGCAUUGCUGCGGUGAAUACGUUCCCGGGUCUUGUACACACCG
rnacentral:rRNA from 1 species